rnacentral:lncRNA from 1 species
GAACAGACCCCUGCCAUCCAAGUUCACAGAGAUCUUGUGUACUGAGCAGACAACAGCACUCGAAUUUCCAUGGUCCACUUUAAAUUACCUCAUUCAAAUUGACAUUGCUUCCCAUGGCAACAGUGGCUUCAGUUACCACACACACAUGAUAUAAAGAAAGCUCACAGCAUAUCCACAGUAGCCAGAAGAGCCAACAUUCUCACUAUCAAGCUAAGCCUAGCUGUCCAUCUGAAACUACAGCUGUGUAAAUAUUCAUAAAGUAAUUGCACACUUUAUUCCACUCAGUCUUUAAGGAAACCUGCAUCUAGUAAAAGUUGUCUUCAAAUUGUGUAUAGAAUCAGUGAUAAGUCUUCUCAUAGGAUAUCAUUUGAGCCUCCUGUCAGCAGAAAGAGCUGUUUCUCUACUACCCAAAGCAAAUGAUCCCCACCCCCCAACCCCACUUUGGGACAGUUUCUCGUUGUACCUCUAGCUGUUCUGGAAUUCUAGACCAGGCUGGCCUGGAACUUACAGAGAUCCACCUGCCUCUGCCUCUCAAGUGCUGGGACUAAAGGUGUUCACCACCACCACCAGGCAAACAUAAAUUUUGAAGCAAUCUCCACAAGUGUUUGGUUUUGUAUGUGCUGGUAGAGCUUAUAAAUGAUGAUAAUACCAGCCGGUCAUGGUGGCUUUGUUUCAGCAUUUGGGAAGCAGAGGCAUCAGACCUCUAUGAACUUGAGACCAGCCUAAUCUAUAUAGAGUUCCAGGCCAUCCAGGGAUACAUACUGAGACCCUGUCUCCCAAAAAAUAGUAAAAAAAAAAAAAAAAAAAAAAAGUAAUGAGUAAAUAAAGAUAGCUAUGUAUUCAAAAAAUAGUCUGAUGUAACGAUUACUAUUUUAAAACUUCUUAUUUAAGAUUUUAUGUGUAUGUAGACCAGGCUAGCCUUGAGCUCACAGAGAUUGUCCCUCCUCUUCCCCCUGAGCACUGAGAUUAAAGGUGUGUGACACACCUCCAAGCUUCUAGCUUUCUACUUUUUUCUUUUGGUGAUUUUGGGAAUUGAACCCAGGGCCUUAACCCAGGUCUACAUUCCUACCUAGACUGACCGGUGUUCUUAGUUACAAGAUUCUGAGCUGAUCAAGAUACAAGAAUCUGAGCUGAUCUCCCUAGCAUCAGUUUCCUCAUGCAUAAAGGGCAAGAAUAUUCACAUUAUCAGAUGCCUAUCUAUAACAUACUCAGUUAGCCAUUCCACAAAGUAAAGGAAUAAUUCAAACCCUGGGGUCCUAGGAUGAAUUUUCUAGGGCAUUCUUUUAGGAUGUGGGAUCUUUAAGACUUGAAAUUGAUGACGAGUACUUUAUUAGAAAAAUCAUUGUCAGGAGUUCAAAGCCUUCCUCAGCUAUGUGGUAAGUUUGAGGCUAUGUCACAUGAGUCCAGGCCUGUUGCAAAAUAAAUAGACAAAUUUAAAAGAAAUAAAGAAACUUUUCAGAAGGAAGACAGACUUAAGAAAUGAGGAUUUUCAUGUCUGGAAGGGCAUAGACUACUUUCCAGCUUACAUUCAAGUUCCAGUUGAAGAAAUGAAGGUGGAGAAAGCCCAAGGAUCUUACUCAAGGUUGGCAGUACAACCUCAACAGCUAACCAUCCACACACAGUGUUAGUACUGGCAGUGCUGAUAUGGAAGAAGGCCUGCACUUAUGUUAAAGAAAAAUAAAUUGAAUGUGAAAAACAAGCUCAGAUAAUAUUUUUAAAAUGCACUGUGGGUGUGAUAGAAUACUCCUGUAAUCCCAGCAUCUGGAAGGGGAAGCAGGAAGAUGAAGGAAGAGUCCAAGAGUGGGAGGGGCAGGAGGAGCUCUAAACCAGGCUCUGAAAUAAAGCAAGGUCAAGGCCAACCUGGGCUACUUGAGACUGUU